rnacentral:rRNA from 1 species
UACGGAGGGUGCAAACGUUGCUCGGAAUCAUUGGGCGUAAAGCGCACGUAGGUGGCGUGUUAAGUCGGGUGUGAAAUCCCUGGGCUCAACCCAGGAAGUGCACUCGAAACUGGCACGCUUGAGUACUGAAGAGGGUCGCGGAAUUCCCGGUGUAGAGGUGAAAUUCGUAGAUAUCGGGAGGAACACCAGUGGCGAAGGCGGCGACCUGGGCAGAUACUGACACUGAGGUGCGAAAGCGUGGGGAGCAAACAGGG